GUGCUACUUGAUUGUAAGUUGCUCUGGAUAAGAGCGUCUGCUAAAUGACCAAUA
rfam:Salmo salar isolate Sally breed double haploid chromosome ssa15, whole genome shotgun sequence.